CCUACGGGAGGCAGCAGUGAGGAAUAUUGGUCAAUGGACGAGAGUCUGAACCAGCCAAGUAGCGUGAAGGAUGACUGCCCUAUGGGUUGUAAACUUCUUUUAUAUGGGAGUAAAAUGUUCCACGUGUGGGAUUUUGUAUGUACCAUAUGAAUAAGGAUCGGCUAACUCCGUGCCAGCAGCCGCGGUAAUACGGAGGAUCCGAGCGUUAUCCGGAUUUAUUGGGUUUAAAGGGAGCGUAGGUGGAUUGUUAAGUCAGUUGUGAAAGUUUGCGGCUCAACCGUAAAAUUGCAGUUGAAACUGGCAGUCUUGAGUACAGUAGAGGUGGGCGGAAUGCGUGGUGUAGCGGUGAAAUGCUUAGAUAUCACGAAGAACUCCGAUUGCGAAGGCAGUUCACUGGACUGUAACUGACACUGAGGCGCGAAAGUGUGGGUAUCAAACAGGAUUAGAUACCCCGGUAGUC
rnacentral:rRNA from 1 species